CCUCAGAUAGCUCAGUUGGUAGAGCAUGAGACUCUUAAUCACAGGGUUGUGGGUUUGAGCCCCACUUUGAGUGA
rnacentral:tRNA from 1 species